rnacentral:rRNA from 1 species
GAUGAACGCUGGCGGCGUGCCUAAUACAUGCAAGUCGAGCGAACAGACGAGGAGCUUGCUCCUCUGACGUUAGCGGCGGACGGGUGAGUAACACGUGGAUAACCUACCUAUAAGACUGGGAUAACUUCGGGAAACCGGAGCUAAUACCGGAUAAUAUAUUGAACCGCAUGGUUCAAUAGUGAAAGACGGUGUUGCUGUCACUUAUAGAUGGAUCCCCGCCGCAUUAGCUAGUUGGUAAGGUAACGGCUUACCAAGGCAACGAUGCGUAGCCGACCUGAGAGGGUGAUCGGCCACACUGGAACUGAGACACGGUCCAGACUCCUACGGGAGGCAGCAGUAGGGAAUCUUCCGCAAUGGGCGAAAGCCUGACGGAGCAACGCCGCGUGAGUGAUGAAGGUCUUCGGAUCGUAAAACUCUGUUAUUAGGGAAGAACAAAUGUGUAAGUAACUAUGCACGUCUUGACGGUACCUAAUCAGAAAGCCACGGCUAACUACGUG